rnacentral:rRNA from 1 species
UACAGAGGGUGCUAGCGUUGUUCGGAAUUAUUGGGCGUAAAGGGCGCGUAGGCGGCCCUGUGUGUCGGGUGUGAAAGCCCACCUCUUAAAGGUGGAAUUGCAUUCGAAACUACAGGGCUGGAGUGUCGGAGAGGAUGGCGGAAUUCCUGGUGUAGAGGUGAAAUUCGUAGAUAUCAGGAGGAACACCAGCGGCGAAGGCGGCGCUCUGGGCCGGUACUGACACUGAGGAGCGAAAGCGUGGGUAGCAAACAGG